UAGGGAAUCUUCCGCAAUGGACGAAAGUCUGACGGAGCAACGCCGCGUGAGUGAAGAAGGAUUUCGGUUCGUAAAACUCUGUUGUUAGGGAAGAAAAAAUGUAUAGUAACUAUAUACGAAAGAGACGGUACCUAACCAGAAAGCCACGGCUAACUACGUGCCAGCAGCCGCGGUAAUACGUAGGUGGCAAGCGUUGUCCGGAAUUAUUGGGCGUAAAGCGCGCGCAGGUGGUUUAGAAAGUCUGAUGUGAAAGCCCACGGCUCAACCGUGGAGGGUCAUUGGAAACUAAUAAACUUGAGUGCAGGAGAGAAAAGUGGAAUUCCUAGUGUAGCGGUGAAAUGCGUAGAGAUUAGGAGGAACACCGGUGGCGAAAGCGGCUUUUUGGCCUGCAACUGACACUGAGGCGCGAAAGCGUGGGGAGCAAACAGG
rnacentral:rRNA from 1 species